AUCAAGUUUGAGAUCUUCCACAAAGGGUCCUUCUUCAGAAGCGACAAGCUGGUUGGCACAGCACACCUGAAACUGGAGCGGCUGGAGAAUGAGUGUGAGAUCAGAGAAAUUGUGGAGGUCCUGGAUGGAAGGAAGCCCACCGGGGGGAAGCUGGAGGUGAAGGUGAGGCUGCGGGAGCCUCUGAGUGGCCAGGAUGUGCAGAUGGUCACUGAGAACUGGCUGGUUCUGGAGCCCAGGGGCUUGUGAGAAUAUAAAAGAUGAGUUCCAUGACAACAGGGCCCUCACUAAGCUGGCAGGCCCCUCCAUGGAUCACCGGCACCAAGGCGCUGUCCAGAUCAUUCAUGUACUGCGAGGGAAGGGGCUGGCCAUUGCUCCCUGCUUGAUAGCCAACCUAUACCACAGAGAGAAAAGGAGGAGAGGUUACUGAACAGAGAAGGCCUCUCCAGGGCUGAGGGCAAGGAGGCUGAGCAGGAAAAGGAGAUGUACUUUUUGGCCAUAGGCUAGACAUAUGGCAAUGAAUACAAAUUUAUCCUCUUUUCUGGAUUGUCACUUAUCCUGUUGUUGACUCCUCCUGACCGACAACCAUGAGGCACUGGGUAAGCCACUUAACCUGUUAUGGUCUUAGUUUUCUGGGGAAGGGGAGAGGUGUGUAAAAAGGUAUGGAGUAUCAGAAAUAAUACCUUAAUCUUUGGUUGUGAAAAUUAAAAUGAGAAAUAUACAAUAUA
rnacentral:sRNA from 1 species